GGGACCGUGGUCAAGCUUGGCUACGAUACGUGGUUUGGGUCCACGUGAUCCCAGGUUCAAAUCCUGGCGGUCCCACCA
rnacentral:tRNA from 1 species